GUAAGUCAUUUCUAGGUCUUCUAAAGUGUUCAACAUUUGGUCUAGCAUGCAUAUUGGUUCUAGGGUUGCUAUUUCUAGGAUGAGCAUUUGUUUUAUUAAUCCUAGGUUGAGCCUUAGGUGGUUGGUGUUUGGCUUCAACCUUUUCUUUAGGCUCAUUCUUAAAACCUAUGCCAUGCUUGGUUGACUUCAAAUUAACAAGGACCUCAUUCAAAUUUUUGUGAGNNN
rnacentral:lncRNA from 1 species